ACCCCUCAUGUCGUCCCUCCGGGACGCUUGAGCGGCUGGCUUUCGGGCCAGUCGGGCUCCCGCUAGCUAUUGCAGCUUCGGGGGUUGGCAAACCCAACCACACACCCAACCAAAUUGUCUGUCUGAAGAUGAUUCGAUUCAGCACUGCUGAUCGAUUAACUAAGACAACUCUCAACAACGGAUAUCUUGGCUCUCGCAACGAUGAAGAACGCAGCGAAAUGCGAUACGUAGUGUGAAUUGCAGAAUUCCGUGAAUCAUCGAAUCUUUGAACGCAUAUUGCGGUCGAGGCUUCGGCCGAGACCAUGUCUGCCUCAGCGUCGGUGAAACCCCUCAUUCCCACCCCCGGGUGUGGAAUGGAACUGGUCUCCCCAUUGCUUGCGAUGGGUUGGCUGAAAUUCAGAGGUUUAAGCUUGGACCUGUAUGGCAACAGCAAGGUAGGUAGCUUGACUACUCCAGCUGAUGCUUUGGGCACUUGCACGAACCCGCAGGAAAUCAUCACCUUUUCGACCUGAGAUCAGGCAAGGCU
rnacentral:rRNA from 1 species